UAAAGACGGUGCUUACCUCAACAACGUCUUUGAAAGUGGGCAUUCAAAGACAGUGUUGAUGUAAGCACCGUCUUAGAAUGUUGACAUUCAAAGACGGUGUUGAGGUAAGCACCGUCCUU
rfam:Glycine soja cultivar W05 scaffold151_8, whole genome shotgun sequence.